AUUCGUCCAGGAUGUCCCAAACGAUCAUGCCAAAGUGUAAUUUCGUGCGCGGUCCCUGUGGUAGAGCCGGCCACAUAGUGGCAUUCUAUGGGGCGUAUGGUCGUAGUAUACAGACCACUCGGGUUACGCUCCAUCUUCUCUAGAAUACGCUUCUGGCCAUAUUCGUAGGAAGUUACGCACAUAAAUUCAACUCCGUUUUCUACGUGGGUUUCAGCGUGGUAAUUGUUAUCUCUAAUGUCCUUGAAACUU
rnacentral:lncRNA from 1 species